UACAGAGGUCUCAAGCGUUGUUCGGAUUCAUUGGGCGUAAAGAGCUCGUAGGUGGUUUGUCGCGUUGUUCGUGAAAACUCACAGCUUAACUGUGGGCGUGCGGGCGAUACGGGCAGACUGGAGUACUGCAGGGGAGACUGGAAUUCCUGGUGUAGCGGUGGAAUGCGCAGAUAUCAGGAGGAACACCGGUGGCGAAGGCGGGUCUCUGGGCAGUAACUGACGCUGAGGAGCGAAAGCGUGGGGAGCAAACAGG
rnacentral:rRNA from 1 species